rnacentral:rRNA from 1 species
GAUGAACGCUAGCUACAGGCUUAACACAUGCAAGUCGAGGGGAAACGAUAUUGGAAGCUUGCUUCCGAUAGGCGUCGACCGGCGCACGGGUGAGUAACGCGUAUCCAACCUGCCCACCACUUGGGGAUAACCUUGCGAAAGUAAGACUAAUACCCAAUGAUAUCUCUAGAAGACAUCUGAAGGAGAUUAAAGAUUCAUCGGUGAUGGAUGGGGAUGCGUCUGAUUAGCUUGUUGGCGGGGUAACGGCCCACCAAGGCGACGAUCAGUAGGGGUUCUGAGAGGAAGGGCCCCCACAUUGGAACUGAGACACGGUCCAAACUCCUACGGGAGGCAGCAUUGAGGAAUAUUGGUCAAUGGGCGAGAGCCUGAACCAGCCAAGUAGCGUGCAGGAUGACGGCCCUAUGGGUUGUAAACUGCUUUUAUAAGGGAAUAAAGUGAGUCUCGUGAGACUUUUUGCACGUACCUUAUGAAUAAGGACCGGCUAAUUCCGUGCCAGCCGCCGCAGUAA